rnacentral:tRNA from 1 species
GCCAGUGUGGUGUAGUGGUUUGAGUGUUGGACUACGACUCUGGAGAUGAGGGUUCGAUUCCCUGCUCAGCCA